GGGGGUGUGGACCGGCAUUGCCCGCAAAGCGCAAUGGCAUUGCGAAGGUCUGGGGUUCGAUCCCCCACGGCUCCACCA
rnacentral:tRNA from 1 species